CUACGGGCUGCUGCAGUGAGGAAUAUUGCGCAAUGGGGGAAACCCUGACGCAGCGACGCCGCGUGGAUGAUGAAGGCCUUCGGGUUGUAAAAUCCUGUCAGGAGGGAAGAAGUGUAUGGUAGCUAAUAUCUGCCAUAUUUGACGGUACAUCCAAAGGAAGCACCGGCUAACUCCGUGCCAGCAGCCGCGGUAAUACGGAGGGUGCAAGCGUUGUUCGGAAUUACUGGGCGUAAAGCGCGCGUAGGCGGCUAUGUAAGUCAGAUGGUGAAAGCCCAUGGCUCAACCAUGGACGUGCAUUUGAUACUGGAUAGCUUGAGUAUUGGAGGGGGUGGUGGAAUUCCCGGUGUAGAGGUGAAAUUCGUAGAUAUCGGGAGGAAUACCGGUGGCGAAGGCGACCACCUGGCCAAAUACUGACGCUGAGGUGCGAAAGCGUGGGGAGCAAACAGGAUUAGAUACCCCGGUAGUC
rnacentral:rRNA from 1 species